rnacentral:tRNA from 1 species
GGUCUCGUAGUUCAACGGAUAGAAUAGGAGUUUCCUAAACUCUAGAUAUGAGUUCGAUUCUCGUCGGGACCA